CAGGUUACUAUCAGCCUCAGCACCUACAACACAACAUCAGGUUACUAUCAGCCUCAGCACCUACAACACAACAUCAGGUUACUGUCAGCCUCAGCACCGACAACACAACAUCAGGUUACUACCAGCCUCAGCACCGACAACACAACAUCAGGUUACUACCAGCCUCAGCACCUACAACAUCAGGUUACUAUCAGCCUCAGCACCUACAACAUCAGGUUACUAUCAGCCUCAGCACCUACAACAUCAGGUUACUACCAGCCUCAGCACCUACAACACAACAUCAGGUUACUAUCAGCCUCAGCACCUACAACACAACAUCAGGUUACUAUCAGCCUCAG